rnacentral:rRNA from 1 species
GACGAACGCUGGCGGCGUGCUUAACACAUGCAAGUCGAACGGAAAGGCCUGCUUUCCCUUGUGGAUUGCGGGUACUCGAGUGGCGAACGGGUGAGUAACACGUGAGUGAUCUGCCCCCAACUUGGGUAUAAGACUGGGAAACUGGGUCUAAUUCCCGGUAGGACUGCAGGGUGGUGCCUGUGGUGGAAAACGAUUUUCUAGUGGUUGGGGAUGAGCUGGCGGCCUAUCUGCUUGUUGGGGGGGUAAUGGCCUACCAAGGCGGGGAGGGGUAGCCGGCCUGGGAGGGGGGACGGCCGAAUUGGGACUGGGUUCCGGCCCAGACUCCUACGGGAGGCAGCAGUGGGGAAGAGUGCAGCAAGGGCGGAAGGCUGAUGCAGCGACGCCGCGUGGGGGAUGACGGGCUUCGGGUUGUAAGUUCCUUUCGACCGCGAGGAAGCCACCUGGUUGGAAGGGUGGUGACGGUAGUGGUAGAAGAAGCACCGGCUAACUACGUG